ACAAUACUCCCUCCGUCCGGAAAUAUUUGUUGAAGAAAUGGAUAUAUUUAGAUGUAUUUUAGUUCUAGAUACAUCCAUUUUUAUUCAUUUUUCGUACAAGUAUUUCCGGACGGAGGGAGUAUGUU
rfam:Triticum aestivum genome assembly, contig: Triticum_aestivum_CS42_TGACv1_scaffold_250006_3DL